rnacentral:tRNA from 1 species
AAAAAGAUAAGCUAAAUAAAGCUAUUGGGUUCAUACCCCACCUAUGAGUUUAACUCUCUUUUUA